UUAGUUUGGGGGUUCUGACAUCUCUGUACGCCGAGCAGCAAUGGGGACUCCAUAUGCCAGAUGGAUCUUCUACUGCGCUGUGACUGCUGCAUCAACCUUUGGG